ACGGAAGGCAGCAGUGGGGCAUAUUGGGCAAUGGGGGAAACCCUGACCCAGCAACGCCGCGUGAAGGAAGAAGGCCUUCGGGUUGUAAACUUCUUUUACCAGGGACGAUAAUGACGGUACCUGGAGAAAAAGCAACGGCUAACUACGUGCCAGCAGCCGCGGUAAUACGUAGGUUGCACGCGUUGUCCGGAUUUACUGGGUGUAAAGGGCGUGUAGGCGGAGCUGUAAGUCAGAUGUGAAAUCCCGGGGCUCAACCCCGGAACUGCAUUUGAAACUGUAGCCCUUGAGUAGCGGAGAGGCAAGCGGAAUUCCUAGUGUAGCGGUGAAAUGCGUAGAUAUUAGGAGGAACACCAGGGGCGAAGGCGGCUUGCUGGACGAAAACUGACGCUGAGGCGCGAAAGCGUGGGGAGCAAACAGGAUUAGAUACCCGGGUA
rnacentral:rRNA from 1 species